rnacentral:rRNA from 1 species
AACGAACGCUGGCGGCAUGCCUAACACAUGCAAGUCGAACGAGACCUUCGGGUCUAGUUGCGCACGGGUGCGUAACGCGUGGGAACCUGCCCUUAGGUUCGGAAUAACUCCCCGAAAGGGGUGCUAAUACCGGAUAAUGUCUUCGGACCAAAGAUUUAUCGCCUUUGGAUGGGCCCGCGUUGGAUUAGCUAGUUGGUAGUGUAAAAGCCUACCAAGGCGACGAUGCAUAGCUGGUCUGAGAGGAUGAUCAACCACACUGGGACUGAGACACGGCCCAGACUCGUACGGGAGGCAGCAGUGGGGAAUAUUGGACAAGGGGCGAAAGCCUGAUACAGCAAUGCCGGGUGAGUGAUGAAGGCCUUAGGGUUGUAAAGCUCUUUUACCCGGGAUGAUAAUGACAGUACCGGGAGAAUAAGCACCGGCUAACUACGUG